GCUGGCUCUGCUCACUUAACCCUUUGAGGGUCGAUUUUUUUCACCAUAUGCGACCGCCCAGGGUCGAUUUUUUUUAUAACAGAUUCCGAUUCUUUCUAGGGACUUAUUUCGAAAAAAAGUUACCAUAAUUUUUCUAGGGUGACCGUAAAGUGAGAAAAAAAUAUUUUGCGUUGGUAUAUAUGCACUCUUCAUUCAUUAAUAACAAUAAAAAAAGGAAAUAAACUUAUCAGAAUUAAAAAUUUGAUGCAUUUUUAUGCACAUAGUCCAAGGCUUUGAAAAUCCGCACACGAGAAUAUUUCGCAAGCCUCAAAUGUACCUGCUCUUACACUAAUACGUACGUCCAUAGCGUAAUCGAACUGCGUAGGUGCGCGCACUCAAGAAAAAUAUUUGGUUGUGUGCCCAUCAAGAAAAGCAACACGUGUGACAAACUUCUGCUAAUCUUCAUGUUAUCGCCAACCAGCUAGGGCAAUUAGUUUUCGCGAGUCUUAAAAUAAAGAAAAGAAACGGAAACGCAUGUACAGCGGCAUCUUUCCUAUGCGCACUCCUGUGAGCGCUAAACGAGCGAGAAACAAGUGGUCGCCCUUUCAGCGAUUAGGAACGAAAUAGCCAUCAGUUUCGCAAGCGCAAAAAGACAAAACCGCCCACGAAACAAAAUCCAAACAGCCGCCCGCGCACACCCCAACGCACGAGCGGUAGUAUAUAGACGCGUGGGAGCAAACAAGCGCUAAAACAAACCAUGCAACGAAAACCGAGAGAGGGAGGCGCGCGAAAAAAAUUCCGUGUAUCCCUACAUAGUGGCAGCACAUGACAAAAAAGAAAAAGUUAAGAAAUUGGCGCACUUUUUAAACGUACAGACGGCGCUGUAAAUACACGGCAUCGACCAUUUUCGGACUUGUUCACGGCUCCGUAUAUUUACGUCAUUGACCGUCAAAGGGUUAAAGACCCCACUGCAUGAUUGGGUAGAUGGGCGCUAUGGCUCCAAGAAUAUUCAUUUGCUGUUUCAUGCGAGUCAGGCCGUUUGCACAAGGACGCCGACUGCCUCCCCCGUGAUCCUGUCGACCGGCUUGAAUAUGAUGCGCAUGACACCGACUCUUGCAAUCUAGCCAUUUCUAAUCUGUGCAACAUCUGCACUGAACAACGGCGUGAUGACUGCUUACAUGUUCUCAUUGAUCGUCUCGAUUCUGGACAUUCGGAGCCCACGCUGCCCAUGUUCGUGCUCCACAACAACAUUCUCUACUGUCGCAGCUUACACCCUGAAGGACCAGAAUUUUCACUCCUUGUACCACGCCAUCUCCAAACAUCAGUUCUUGAGCCGUUGCAUGACGCCCCUACUGCAGGCCACCUCGGCGUUUCGCGUACUUACAACCGCGUACGGCACCACUUCUGCUGGCCAGGCCUGUACCACUUUGUGCUCCACUACAUUGCAGCCUGUGUGCUCUGUCAGCACUGCAAAAAACCUGCUGUGCUGCCUCCUGGACACCUUCACCCUAUCAAUGUGCCCUCAGAACCAUUCUUUCAAGUUGGUCUCGAUCUGCCCGGCCCUUUUCCGACGUCAAAAUCUGGCAAUAAGUGGGUUGUCCACCUGAAUUUCCGCAGUACUGCAACUGUGUGCAUCUUAAUACUUGAUAUCCAGUCACAAUAAGUAUGACGACAUUAAAUGUUUCUUUAGCGAGGUUAAAAUUUGUGUUUGAUAUUGUGAUGUUUACGGAAAUGUAGUUUACUUGUGAAGAGGAUGUGUUUGAAAUAUACGGGUAUAAGUCUUACUUUGUUAACCACUAUUACAAGCGUGGUUAGAAUCCCGGUGCUGCACAAUUUUGCACCAGAUUUUAAAAAAAUCCGCGUGUUGAUAAAAUUGCAUAAACAGGCCUGGAGUGUGGCCUGAUCCCGGUGACCGGAACUGGUAACGCACUCCCUCACCAGAGCAGGAUUGGCCACCCUGGUGCAGUACUUGGCCACAACCUCCUAUAUGAAUAGAACAAUCAAACCCCGGCCCUCAGUCCCCAGUAGCUGCGAAGCAACUGACCAUGGCGGCGGUCAGGCCUGUGACGCAGCAGAGGGUGCUAAGAAUACCUGGGUCUGAACAGGCCGCCAUUGGAACCUGAACCUAGCAACGUUUAACGCUAGACCGUUAUCUAGUGACGCGAGUCUAGCAGUGCUAUUGGAGGAAUUAGAGGGCAGUAAAUGGGAUAUAAUAGGGCUCAGUGAGGUAAGGAAGACACAAUAAGCAUAUACAGUGCUAAAAAGUUGGCACGUUCUGUGCUACCGCGGCUUAGCGGAGAGACGAGAACUAGGAGUCGGAUUCCUGAUUAAUAAGGAUAUAGCUGAUAACAUACAGGAAUUCUAUAGCAUUAGCGAGAGGGUGGCAGGUCUUGUUGUAAAACUUAACAAGAGGUACAAAUUGAAGGUCGUACAGGUCUACGCCCCUACAUCCAGUCAUGAUGACCAGGACGUCGAAAGCUUCUAUGAAGACGUGGAAUCGGCGAUGGAUACAGUCGAAACCUGCAAUAACGAAAUCCUGCAACAACGAAAUUCUCAUGACAACGAAAUAUUUUCGUAUCCCCGGCGAACGCCCAUAGGGUUCCAUUCUUUUCAUACCUCUCGACAACGACAUGUCGCUGUACUACAAUCCCGCAUCAACGAAAUUUGCUGGAACGUAUACAAUCACUUUCGCGCUCGGCACCGGGUGUGUCAGCGCCUGCAGGCGACAGCAUGCGCUGGAGAAAUGCUGCUGCAAGUGUGAACCGCUGUUGCUCCUCGGCAGUGCGGUUCUAUGUCCUCGAGCAAGCUUGCCAAAGUAGGCUAACAGAAUUUUGAUGGCGCGGGCACUGCUAGUGGGAACACGGCAGCCCGUGGCCGCAGAGCGCCACGAACACGAAGUCUUGGCAGGUGACUCACGACAACUCCCUGGGCUUUUUGCCAAUUGCUUGGAUUGCGCCUCCACCGCAAGACUUCAUGAGGUGCAUGUCACUGCGCAAUGCCAUGGGAUUCGUGUUCCUACUAGCAGUGACCGUGCCUGUACAUGUGUGGAAUUGAUACCACUGUAUGCCAUGCUCUAGUGCACGAACCCAGUCAAGUCUUUUCAGGCUUUUUGUCCAUGCUCCAAACAUCAGACAGAUGUUGAAUAAAGCUGAAUUGAAUAACUGCAUAGUCAGCAUCCGUGACCGAGUCGUCCACAGCAAUAGCGGCAAACAGUAGUUGCAUUCUGACUUGGUGCGCGCGUCGGCCACGAGCCUUCAAAACUGCAAGGUCCCCCCAUCCAAGAUCACGUCUAUAGUGGCCACAGUUUCUUCUGCAGCAUUUACGCCAAACAGUAGUUUCUUGCUAAACAUGUUUUGGGCGCUAAGUAAGGAGCAUGAAUAAAGGGGGACAGGUAGGAGACAAAGGUUCAUUUUGACUCUGUUUGUGUGCCUUCGAAACUGCAUAGUUACCAUCCAUUAUUGCAUUGAUAGCGACUGCGCUUUCGUCCACAGUUGUUGCAGCAAAUGGUAGUUUCACUUUGACACGGUGCGUGCAUUGGCCGUGUGCCUUCAUGAUUGCAUCGACAGCGGCUGCAGUUUCUGUUGAUUCCGAGUUAGCAGUCGGCGACUGUAUAUAUAUCCAUAAAUAUAUCCACCAAACCAACAGCCAGGCAGCCAGGCCAACCAGGGGAAUGUUGGCAAAGAAAGCUCUGCUUAAAAUCAGGCAUCCAAAAAAUCAGUGAGUGACUGCAUUGCAAAAUAAUGGGUGAAAUUUCGCCCAUUCUUUGUGGCACGUGAAUGUAAAGAACUUGUAGCCUGAAAUAUUGGACAUCUGUGGCUUAUGAGGCUGGAAGGCUGUGUGUGUGCCCAUGUGUCUACAGCCACCACUAGUAGUACAAUCCGGCUGUGAUUUCAAAUCCCUACCAGUCCUGUUAUCACCUACAGUUGUUUGACAGCAAUGGCCACAUGUGCAAAUUUGCUCUUUAUGUGUGCCUUUGUGCCAGUCACAGUCACGAUAACCUUGAAUAUUGGGGAACAGGUGACUUAAACCUGAGCUUGAUCAUCAGGUCAGCAAAGUAUGCGAGUAAUUCAAGUUCCUGAGACAACUUAUUGUAGAUAAUGUUUGGUGACAGUGUGAAAUGGCAGAUGUGCAGAUUAUGGGAAACAAUUAUGUAAGUGCUUGCUCCCUGCUUUACUGACAGCAGCCAGCGUUAUCAGCGAGCUUUAAGCGUAGCAUGCAUGAUAGCUCAGGUUACAUCAGAGAAGUCUUGUCAGCAUGCACUCAAGGAUCACUGAUUUGCUUCUGCAUUGCACUGCCGCAUUUCAUUUUGCUGCAGGUGGAACGUGCUCCGCGCUGCUGUGGCAUGCAGUCUUGCUGAUGACACACUGUCAGUACGAUGCGAAUAAAGUACAGCUGGGCACACGCUCGUGUGAUGUUUAAGGAAUGUCGGGUUUGUGUGAACAUGUGCGCUCCUGGCAGAGAUGAUUUCACUUGAAUUCUCUUUCGUGGGGAGUCCUUCCACUUUGUUUUUGCCAUUCACCAGCAUAAACUAAUUAGUGGAUGUACUGCUUGCAAAUGUAGGCAAUUUCUUUUGUUGGAUUAAAUUUUUUACUUCAAUGUGCAUGUUUUGGCUGUGACAAUGUUUAAACUAUCGGAUAAUUUUUGCCAUUCUCAUGAGAUUCAUUGUAUUGAUAUUUCACUGCACAUUGGUUGGCUUUGGAGAAAGGAAUUGAUUACGAAUAAUUAAUUAUUACUUUCUUCGGUAAACACAGUAGUAGGCUGUGGAUCUAGAAAGCUGGAAAAUAAAGACUUUUUUUUUUUUUUUUUUUUACUCUGUGCUGACCCAGCCUUGUAUUUUGCAGGAUGUAAGUGUGUCACGAAUUUCAGUGUUCCAGUAAUGCAAAUGCAUUACUGGAAAUGCAGAUGCAAAUGCAGUAAUGCAAAUGCAUUAAAAACAUUUAUUCCCAAAAACAAUUCUAAUGAAGUAAACCGAGCAGCAAAGUAAGCUCGCAUAGCUUAAAUCAUAUUCACACAAGAGAAAUUCAUAAAACUAGCUACUAUAUACGUAGAACCAAACUAGCCCUUGGCUAUAUACUGUCCCUCCGGUCAACUAAACAAGUAACACGAAGUCACAAGAAACCGAACGUUCUGACCGUCACCAGUGGUGUCAGACGGAGGUCCAGUGUGGCAUAUGACAUUGGCCUGCAUGGUUCCGACGUGGUAUGGGUGUGGUCCUCAGACCUGCAUGGCACAGGACUCGGUCUAGGCCAGUCGGCCAUUGUGCUGCUGACGUGACCAGGUGAUUGCCCCACCGUGGCACGGGAUAGUCGCUGGUUAUAACAGUGUGGGGUUUGACUGGCGCCAUGGAGCACUGCCACGGCGAUAUCGUCGGGGCUCAGGCCCUAGAGCUGUCGCCGGCCAACUCUUGGACAUCCCCUCACCAGUCCGUGGUCCUCGAAGCUGUCGUUUCCCGUCUCCAGAGCACAGCUGGAGAUGUGUCUGCACUGCUCCUCAUCCACAGCCCAGCCACCUUCGCCUCCUUUUCUCCUCAUUUUUUUCUCACCCACUUCACAUGCUUCUAGCGUCACUUGUUCACUCUCACCGAGUGGCAUUGUCGUCUUCUUCGCAUAUGACAAAAUGUGUUGGGUAAAGGGCAGUGAUUGCAUAUUAGUGAGGACCCGGAUCGCGCACACCUUGUUGACAGGCCAACUUAGUAGCCCCCACUAGGAAGCGGGGGGGGGGGGGGGGGUAAAACCCGAUAAAUUCAUUCUAGUGCUCUCACAAUAAACAGCAGCAGGAUGAGCAUAGCCAAGAGGUACUGGCCACAAUUGAAGUUGGAGGAGGCAUGUGCAUAAAAAUCAGGGUUAUACCAUCAGGAUAAAAAUCAGGGUUAUACCAUCAGGGAAAACUUGGAAUUUUCAGGGAAGUAACUGGGGCUUUUCACCUCUGCUUUGAAUCGAGGACACUGCUACCCACAGGUUACAGUUAACAUAGUGGUGCGGCAGAAGGAAAUGAUGGCCUCAACCAAAUCUAUGCAGUCCGCAAAUUGUGUUUUUUGCUGGUUUUGUGAGCGUGAAUCUGGCCUUGUGGCUGGAACAAGCAUGAAACACAGCGCUAAUAAGUGCCAUGUUUAUUUUUUGUGUCUUCCAUGCUGUGCUCAUUUUGCCAUUAAUGGUCAACUUGUCCAAGCCCUUGUCAGCCUUACAAAACACAUCAUUCAGUCUGAUGAUGUAUAGCAUUUUAUGGCACAAAGGCCAGAUAGAAUUCAAUCGAAUCUGAUUGUGCAUUUCAACUGACUAAUCUCUUGCUGGUUCAGAGUUAUGCACUGGCAGUAACUUGGUUAGCUAUAAACCACCAUUUCUUUAUUGUGCUGAAAACUCCAGAGAUUAUAAACUGCCAGAUAAUUUUUGUCACAACUGUCAGGGAAAACCUGGAAAAAUUGGGGAAAUUGAAAAUGACAACAUAAUGGGCACUACAAAAUCCAUAGAUGGCAUAGAAAAAGCAUUUUCAGAAUUUACAAGAGUUAUUUCUCAUGCAAGCAGGUUGCUCACAGCGCAAUAAGUUCAUUGUGAAAGAGCUGCUUGGUCCCUAUGGGGAAC